ACGCUGGCGGCGUGCCUAAUACAUGCAAGUAGAACGCUGAAGAGAGGAGCUUGCUCUUCUUGGAUGAGUUGCGAACGGGUGAGUAACGCGUAGGUAACCUGCCUCGUAGCGGGGGAUAACUAUUGGAAACGAUAGCUAAUACCGCAUAACAAUGGAUGACACAUGUCAUUUAUUUGAAAGGGGCAAUUGCUCCACUACAAGAUGGACCUGCGUUGUAUUAGCUAGUAGGUGAGGUAACGGCUCACCUAGGCGACGAUACAUAGCCGACCUGAGAGGGUGAUCGGCCACACUGGGACUGAGACACGGCCCAGACUCCUACGGGAGGCAGCAGUAGGGAAUCUUCGGCAAUGGGGGCAACCCUGACCGAGCAACGCCGCGUGAGUGAAGAAGGUUUUCGGAUCGUAAAGCUCUGUUGUAAGUCAAGAAUGAGUGUGAGAGUGGAAAGUUCACACUGUGACGGUAGCUUACCAGAAAGGGACGGCUAACUACGUGCCAGCAGCCGCGGUAAUACGUAGGUCCCGAGCGUUGUCCGGAUUUAUUGGGCGUAAAGCGAGCGCAGGCGGUUAGAUAAGUCUGAAGUUAAAGGCUGUGGCUUAACCAUAGUACGCUUUGGAAACUGUUUAACUUGAGUGCAGAAGGGGAGAGUGGAAUUCCAUGUGUAGCGGUGAAAUGCGUAGAUAUAUGGAGGAACACCGGUGGCGAAAGCGGCUCUCUGGUCUGUAACUGACGCUGAGGCUCGAAAGCGUGGGGAGCGAACAGGAUUAGAUACCCUGGUAGUCCACGCCGUAAACGAUGAGUGCUAGGUGUUGGAUCCUUUCCGGGAUUCAGUGCCGCAGCUAACGCAUUAAGCACUCCGCCUGGGGAGUACGACCGCAAGGUUGAAACUCAAAGGAAUUGACGGGGGCCCGC
rnacentral:rRNA from 1 species